CAUGCAAGUCGAACGGUAACAUAAGUGCUUGCACUUGAUGACGAGUGGCGGACGGGUGAGUAAUGUAUGGGGAUCUGCCGAAUGGAAGGGGACAACAGUUGGAAACGACUGCUAAUACCGUAUAAUGUCGCGAGACCAAAGCAUGGGACUUUCGGGCCAUGCGCCAUUUGAUGAACCCAUAUGGGAUUAGCUAGUAGGUGGGGUAAAGGCUCACCUAGGCGACGAUCUCUAGCUGGUCUGAGAGGAUGACCAGCCACACUGGAACUGAGACACGGUCCAGACUCCUACGGGAGGCAGCAGUGGGGAAUAUUGCACAAUGGGGGGAACCCUGAUGCAGCCAUGCCGCGUGUAUGAAGAAGGCCUUCGGGUUGUAAAGUACUUUCGGUGAUGAGGAAGGCGGUGUAUCUAAUAGGUGCAUCGAUUGACGUUAAUCACAGAAGAAGCACCGGCUAACUCCGUGCCAGCAGCCGCGGUAAUACGGAGGGUGCGAGCGUUAAUCGGAAUGACUGGGCGUAAAGGGCAUGUAGGCGGAUAGUUAAGUUAGGUGUGAAAUCCCUGGGCUCAACCUAGGAAUUGCAUUUAAAACUGGUUAUCUGGAGUAUUGUAGAGGAAGGUGGAAUUCCACGUGUAGCGGUGAAAUGCGUAGAGAUGUGGAGGAAUACCGGUGGCGAAGGCGGCCUUCUGGACAGAUACUGACGCUGAGAUGCGAAAGCGUGGGGAGCAAACAGGAUUAGAUACCCUGGUAGUCCACGCUGUAAACGAUGUCGAUUUGGAGUUUGUUGCCUAGAGUGAUGGGCUCCGAAGCUAACGCGAUAAAUCGACCGCCUGGGGAGUACGGCCGCAAGGUUAAAACUCAAAUGAAUUGACGGGGGCCCGCACAAGCGGUGGAGCAUGUGGUUAAUUCGAUGCACGCGAAGACCUUACCUGGUCUGACUCCCAGAUCUUGUAAGUACGAGAGUGCUUCGGGACUGUGAACAGUGCUGCUGGC
rnacentral:rRNA from 1 species